GACAUAAUUAACCUUAUAAUUUACUCAUAUUUACGAAAAAAUCUAUCCUUGAACCCUAAUUCUCUUGUUCGUCUCUCCUUCAUCACUCGUUUCUGCGGUUUCUCGAAAAAUUGCAAAAUCCUAAAUUUGCUUCCUGUUUUCAUCUUGCAGACCUCCCAUCUCGAAUCAUCACAUCAUAAGAUAGACUUGUUAAUCGAUUGAAAUGGGCACUUUCAAAAGAAAACAUUCAAAGUCACACAAGGAAAUAGUGGAGGAAGAUGACUUUAGCGAUGACUUGUGUGAAGUAUCUGAGCCUGAGCAAUCUGAACCAGAAUCUGAAUCUGAAUCAGAAGACGAGGAGGGAGUUAUAAAAUUAGCUGUACCUUCAAAAACGUUUAUAUUCAACAGAGAAGGUUUGCAAGAGCAACUUGAGGAUAUAAGCUGGCCGGAAAAUGUAGACUGGAUCCACAAACUCACCAUCGAUAUUGAUCAAGAUGAGGAGGUGGAUGUUAAUGAUGAUUUAGCACGUGAAUUAUCUUUCUAUAACCAGGCGUUGGAGGGAACACGAGAAGCCUUUGAGAAGCUUCAAAAAAGAAAUAUUCCAUUCCUCAGACCUGCUGAUUAUUAUGCAGAGAUGGUCAAAACAGAUUCCCACAUGGUGAAGGUGAAGGGUCGGCUCUUGGAGGAGAAGAAACGGAUUGAGGAAGCUGAUGAGAGAAGAAAAGCAAGAGAUGCUAAGAAAAUAUCGAAAGAAGUACAGGCAGAAAAGCUUAAAGAGAGAGCCAAGCAAAAGAAGGACGAUUUUGAAUCGGUUAAAAAGUGGCGAAAACAGAGGCAGCAAAGUGGAUUUGAGAAGGGAGGCGAUGAUGAAGAUAUGGGUCUUUCAUUUGAAGAUGGGAAAACAUUUGACAGAAAUAAAAAGAAGAGACCUGGGGUUCGUCCAGGAGAUAGGUCAGGUGGGUUGGGAAACAAAGGCAACUUUAAGGGAAAGAAAGGUGGUGAUAAUAAAAAGAAAAGCAGCAAGGAGCGCAGGGAUUCAAAGUUUGGGUUUGGAGGGAAGAAAGGGAUGAAGAAACAAAAUACUGCUGAUUCUACAAAUGAUUUUGGUGGAUUUAAUAAAGGUGAUUCUUCAGGAAACAAGAGGAGGAGGAAGUUUUAAGUGAGCGUUGUUCGUUCCAAUGCCAUCCUGCAGCAGUUGAUUCUGGGUGAUGGAUCUACAGCGCCUCCGUGGAAGUAGCCUGGUUUUAAGAAAAGUUUCAAGACAAUUUUUGCAGCAGUGAAUCUGGAGAUCUUUGAGUUGGAAGUUGCCAAGCUUGUUAAAUAAUAUCAGCACCAGCAGGAUCACUUAGUCACCAUUCAUAGAAUCGAAAGUUGCAAAUGUAUUUUACGACUAGGGUUUUCCAGGAGCAACAUUUUAAUCAACAUGGACACAGAAGUCAAACAGCAGGACAAUGGGCCUCAUUGGAAAUCAUCUAGUGCUGGUAUUUACGUGCAUCUCUUAUUUUAACUGGUUGCGAGUCCCCAACUCCCUGUGGUAGAAGAUCCAGAAAUCACUUGGGAUUUGAGAGAAGGUAUCUAUAGAGUUGGUGUACAAUUAACUCACACUUCACAUAUAUCAACAGUCAUGGUUAUGGAGCUUGCAGCAUAAAUGUAAUCAAGAACCGAGGUAACAUGGAAGAGUAUGGACACAACGGAAAACUCAGAUGUUGAUAGCGAGACAACAAUUCGUAAGAUAUGGGGCAAGAAAAUUAAAUCCAUAUCAUGUAUGUUGAAUAAAUUGCAUUUGUCGUAAUUGCAACCUGACAAAAAUGCGUUAAUAUUGUUCAAAUCCCAGCUGA